rnacentral:rRNA from 2 species
UCUGGUUGAUCCUGCCUGAACUGAUGUGUUCAUUUCAAAGAUUAAGCCAUGCAUGUGUAAGUUUAACCUGCCAGACAGGGAAACUGCGUACGGCUCAUUACACCAGCUAUAAUUUACUUGACCUUGACUUCUUACUUGGAUAACUGUGGUAAUUCUAGAGCUAAUACAUGCACCAAAGCUCCAAUCUCCCCAGAGCGGAGCGCAUUUGUUCGCCACAAAACCAAGCGCCCUCCGGGCGUCCAGUGUUGACUCAGAACAACUAAGCUGAUCGCACGGUCUUGUACCGGCGACGUGUCUUUCAAGUGUCUGCCUUAUCAACUUUCGAUGGUAGUGUAUCUGACUACCAUGGUGAUGACGGGUAACGGAGGAUAAGGGUUCGACUCCGGAGAAGGGGCCUGAGAAAUGGCCACUACGUCUAAGGAUGGCAGCAGGCGCGCAAAUUACCCACUCUCAACGCGAGGAGGUAGUGACGAGAAAUAACGAGACCGAUCUCUUAUGAGGCCGGUCAUCGGAAUGGGUACAAUUUAAACCCUUUAACGAGUAUCUAUGAGAGGGCAAGUCUGGUGCCAGCAGCCGCGGUAAUUCCAGCUCUCAAAAUGCAUAGAAUUAUUGCUGCGGUUAAAAAGCUCGUAGUUGGAUCUGUGCUAGCCGUCCGGUGCACACUUUGUGUGUUACUGGUUUGGUUGGCUUUUCUGCCGGUCUUUCCCCGGCGUUGGCCUUUACCGGUCGGCGUCGGUGGGCUGGCGAGUUUACUUUGAACAAAUCAGAGUGCUUCAAACAGGCGUUUCGCUUGAAUGUUCGUGCAUGGAAUAAUAGAAGAGGAUUUCGGUCCGAUUUUAUUGGUUUUGCUGACCGAGAUAAUGGUUAACAGAGACAAACGGGGCCAUUCGUAUUGCUACGUGAGAGGUGAAAUUCUUGGACCGUAGCAAGACGGACUACAGCGAAAGCAUUUGGCAAGAAUGUCUUCAUUAAUCAAGAACGAAAGUCAGAGGUUCGAAGGCGAUCAGAUACCGCCCUAGUUCUGACCGUAAACGAUGCCAACUAGCGAUCCGCCGGCGGAUUUAUUCGCCCUGGUGGGGAGCUUCCCGGAAACGAAAGUCUUCCGGUUCCGGGGGAAGUAUGGUUGCAAAGCUGAAACUUAAAGGAAUUGACGGAAGGGCACCACCAGGAGUGGAGCCUGCGGCUUAAUUUGACUCAACACGGGGAAACUCACCCGGCCCGGACACCGUAAGGAUUGA